GUCGUCAGCUCGUGUCGUGAGAUGUUGGUUAAGUCCUGCAACGAGCGCAACCCUUGUCAUUAGUUGCUACAUUCAGUUGGGCACUCUAAUGAGACUGCCGGUGACAAGCCGGAGGAAGUGGGGAUGACGUCAAGUCCUCAUGGCCCUUAUAGGUGGGGCUACACACGUCAUACAAUGGCUGGUACAAAGGGUUGCCAACCCGCGAGGGGGAGCUAAUCCCAUAAAGCCAGUCGUAGUCCGGAUCGUAGUCUGCAACUCGACUACGUGAAGUCGGAAUCGCUAGUAAUCGUGGAUCAGAAUGUCACGGUGAAUACGUUCCCGGGUCUU
rnacentral:rRNA from 1 species